rnacentral:rRNA from 1 species
AUACGGAGGGUGCAAGCGUUACUCGGAAUCACUGGGCGUAAAGCGCGCGCAGGCGGCUAUUUAAGUUGGAUGUGAAAGCCUACGGCUCAACCGUAGAACUGCAUCCAAAACUAUUUAGCUAGAGCGUGGGAGAGGAAGAUGGAAUUAGUUGUGUAGGGGUAAAAUCCGUAGAGAUAACUAGGAAUACCAAAAGCGAAGGCAAUCUUCUGGAACACUACUGACGCUGAGGCGCGAAAGCGUGGGGAGCAAACAGGAUUAGAAACCCCAGUAGUCC